rnacentral:lncRNA from 1 species
GAUUCAGACAGAAAGAAAUGGAGAGCUGUCAACUGCCAAUCAACUCUAGCAUUGUUGCUACUACUCAUACGGAACGAAGACACUCGACCUGCUGCCACCUGCCUCCAUAUCGCCAUAUGCGCCCACUAGCCAGAACGAUAUGCGGAACAACGAGCAAGGGUCAAUGAGAGCAGCUAGAGAGUGAAACAGCUGGAGGAGCAUGGUCAGGUGCGUGGGCUAUACGGAAUUGGGAUAGCGCGAGAGAGCAUGGGAGGAGGUUCCAGUCGUCGGGAGGUGUAGCUGAGUAGUUGAGCGUAAACACAGAUAUAGAGUGCAAGCUAGAGGCAAGGGGACUAGAGAAUGGAGCUGCUCAUGUAGUUGAAAUGGUGGAGAGUAUGGGCAAGCGAGUCCGAUAGGCAAGUACAGCAGGUAGUUGAUCCCAGUUGCAUCGUAGUAUAGCACUUGAUGGUUCGUCGGGCAUGAAAGAAACACCAAGCAACAAAACGGGAACGAGUAGUCUCCGAGCUCAUGGUAGUUCCAAGAGGGCAUGGUGGCCAGAGUUCAUGGACACCAGAAUGCCAACAACAUAUUGCGUUUAGGCUGAACUGCGAGACUAUAUUGGAAGGCGACAUCAUCGACUCUAGCCCCACUAGCCGCUACUUACUCCAGCCCAAUAGCAAUCUGAUCCAUCACUGAGGAUCGAACACCCGCUAGCUAGUUGCAUUUAUCGAGUUGCGCAAUCGGAGCAGUAGUGCGGUUCAUAGGGGGCAGGUCACCUUUGGGGUAGUACGGCGUUUAUCGAUUUCCGGUCUUUGGGAGUGGGCAAGCGCGUAGUACGAUAUGCUAGUUCACGUCGUAUAGAACAGAUGGCAUUUUCUUCAGAUCUGAGUAGGGAAGCGGAUGCUGUUGUGGAGUGCCGUUGCUAGUUCAGUGAGGGUUUGUUGGGGCCGGUUGGGAGUCGUCUCGUGUUUCGUAUAAUAGGCAUGGUGAUUUCAUGUCCAACAAGUAGCAUAGGAAGUUGAUGUCCCAGUCGUAACAGCUGCGGGUUGAAAGCUAGUACGGCGUUUAGCGAUUCUAUGGGGCUUGACGAUCGUUCCACCUGCUGUCCAGUGGCUAUAUUGCUCAUGGGCUUAAGCGUGGGUCAUUGUCGUAUAUAUAGUCUGAACACCCCAGUCUUGGCUAGCUAGUUCGAUUGUCGUGGUCUCGCUUUCCCGGAUCGAGUAUAUGCAUAGGAGUCGUCUCGUUCAGUGUGGGCAUAGAGUAGUAGUAUAUAGUACGAGUAGCCAGCAGCAAGUGUGGAGGUAGAAGGAUUAGUUCGCAAUCGGUGCAGUAGUAUCGGCGGGAGAAGUAAGAGCAUCCGCAAGUAGUAGUUUUGUUGAGUGAGAGCAUGUUCACGUCCUAGUAGUUAGUAGUCGCAUAUAGGGCCGGGGGGCAUCCGUACAUCGCAUUCGCGUUCGGUCACCUACCUGUGUCCCAGUAGUAACAGCAUUGCUUUCCGCGUAGGCAUAUACGAGUAGUUGCCAGUAGUCAUAUCGGUUGUUAGUUGCAACAAGGAGCGGUAAAGAGCGAGGUCGACAUAGGCGCAGUACGAGAGCAGCCCAGUCCGCGCUGCUGGCUUGUUGCUUCAUCCAAAAGUAGUAGUGCGAGUCGUCCAUCUCAUUAUUAUUAGGAUUAGUAUACGCUCAUGCCCCAUAGCCCAAGUGAUGAGUUCAAGUCGUUCUUCACGUGGUCUAUUUUCUUCCGAAAAGUAGUGAAGGAGCUAGCCUUACCGUCGUUAGAGAUACGAUGUUGUUGAUUCAGGCUAGUUAGUCUCAUUCAAGAAAUUCGUAGUUUAGUUAGAUAGCAGUAGUGAUUGAGGGUAGCUGGCUCAGUCGUAGUUCAAUAGCAAGUAGUUCUCGAAAGUGAGUUAACCGUCGACUACUACUUCUUAUUGAGGGUUGCUGUAAGUCUAGUUCAAUUAAGUAGUAGUUCAAUUAUAAUGUGUUAAUCAUUUAAGAUUUGAAAGAGUGGUUUUUGAGGACACCCUUUUUUAGUCGUUUUUGAACCCGGGCCGGGUUUUAGUCAAGUUUUUGUCGGGUGUGACAUGACCGUAUAUAUACGUAGCAGUG